UACGUAGGUGGCAAGCGUUGUCCGGAUUUACUGGGUGUAAAGGGAGCGUAGGCGGCGGGGCAAGCCUGAUGUGAAAGCCCGGGGCUCAACCCCGGGACUGCAUUGGGAACUGCCCUGCUGGAGUGCCGGAGGGGCAGGCGGAAUUCCUAGUGUAGCGGUGAAAUGCGUAGAUAUUAGGAGGAACACCAGUGGCGAAGGCGGCCUGCUGGACGGUGACUGACGCUGAGGCUCGAAAGCGUGGGGAGCAAACAGG
rnacentral:rRNA from 1 species